rnacentral:rRNA from 1 species
UACAGAGGUCCCAAGCGUUGUUCGGAUUUAUUGGGCGUAAAGGGUGCGUAGGCGGCGGAGUAAGUUGGGUGUGAAAUCCCGGGGCUCAACCUCGGAAUUGCAUUCAAUACUGCUUCGCUAGAGUACUGGAGAGGAGGCUGGAAUUUACGGUGUAGCAGUGAAAUGCGUAGAUAUCAAGCGGAACACCAGUGGCGAAGGCGAGUCCCUGGACAACUCCUGACACUGAGGCACGAAAGCUAGGGGAGCAAACAGG